ensembl:lncRNA
CUUAUGUUAUAAGGUACCACAAUUUUCAGCCGGACAGAUAGAACUCAAAGAAGUUUCUGUAGUCGGCUGAUACGUAUGUAGUAUGCACCGCAGCCAUAUUUGUAGUUCUUGGUAGUGCCCCCUACUCGUUAACACGAGAUUAUUCCCAAUUACAUCUCAACAUCUCCAAAUGUACCACAAAUAUAUAACUAUUAUGAGUCCCAACUAGACGACCCCAGCUUUCCAAGUAGCCGAUCUCUUGCAUUCGUACUAAAUUUGUUCUCUUUUCUCGUCAGGCCGUGGCAACCCGAGCAGUAAUGGAUGGACAUUCAUCAUUUUUAAUCGUUAACAUUACUACAAAUAUUCUCUUUUCUAAUCAGGGAGUGGCAACACAACGAUCAGUUGCCCACGAUCAUCAUUUUACUUCUGUGCAUAAAAUAUUAAUUCUCUUUUCUCUUUAGGAGGUGGCAACACAAGCAUUAUAGUUGCCAAACACUCAUCUUUUUACUUCUCUGCAUUGAUCUUAAUUCUUUCUCUCUCCAGGAAAUGGCAGUAUAAGAACGAAUGCCAAACACGGACAGUAAUUAUUAAUUUUUUUUUUUUUCAGGUUGCUGAGCGCUUCUGUCUAUUCAACAUGCGUUUUGUGUAGCAAGACAGGUAGAGAACCAGGCUGGUUCAAAUAGACACGGGGUUCAACUGCUAGAAUAAUAUGUCUAAUUAAUAAAUGGUACACAUGGUUUUAAACGGCGCCCAAGGAGGGAGUUAGCUCAACUGCGGUAGACACAAUUACAAUACGUUUUUUGCGAAUAUUAAAGGUACAUGGGUUAAAUUCUACAAUAAUCAGCUACUACAGACGAAUAGACUGAAUAACACUGCGUGAGGUGUUCAAGGGUCAACUAUUGCUUCCAUUGGAGCGAUUGCAAUAGAUAUAAUAUCAUACCACCAAUAUGCAUGCAAUAUCUUGUAUUCAACAAUUAGGAAUGCCGGUUCCAGAACCGAAAGAAGUCCUACAAAAGGACACCAACCCAGGGGUCUUGCAUCAAACCAGAUCCCUAUACGACAGUUACACGGUGAUCUUAAGAUAGGAAUAAUUAUCUAAACUCCGCAUCAUGAACGGUUAGCCUUUAAAGUUGUCCAUAGCAUGCAUACCGCUCGUCCACAGAAGUCCGGGGAUUAACCAGGCCUGGGAAUUCUUAUUAGAAGAGUUUUGGGAUAACCUGCCUCAUAGGAGAGCAGAAGAGUCCCCCCCAAUAGAGGAUCCUGAGGACAAGCGGUAGAAAUGCAUAGUUCAACAAACCUGACGAGGUCCAAAAAUACCAAAAUAAGAACGAUUAAAAUAUAUAUUUCAUUACAAACUAUAAAAAACGUUACGGUAACAACAGAAGUAUGAUGCCUAAUAUUGAAAUGCAGAUUUUUAAUAUUAAGAUAUUUUUGAUAAUGUUCAAAUUUAAGUUUUGUAUGUUUGUAUUUUCCCAUGUGGUCUUGUCACCCUGUUAUUCUGCAGGGUCGUUCAAAAUCCUUUGAGGUUAGUGGAAAUCAGUUCUCACUCUGUUCCUUUGUUGUCCUGUGUUGGUUUGGGCCCGUUAUCCUUGAUCCCCAGAGAAGCGCAGAGACGCAAGUGAUAAGGAACGGCCAACCCCAUAUUUAUGACAUCUUAAGGAAUGAUGACUUAGAUGACCAUAUGGUUAACAAAGGCUUUUGGUUUGUUGUGAGGCAGCUGUCCUCAGCAACACUUCUGAAUGUGUAAGAACUCCUGGCCACUCAGCAGACCUCUCUGCGGACCCUUUAGAAAAUAAAGGGCUCCGCAGGAAGAAAUCCCAUCUGAGGUCUCAAAUUGUUGA